CAACCCUCAAGCAAUGCUUGGUGUUGGGCCGCGCCGCUCACCCGGCGGGCCCUAAAACCAGUGGCGGUGCCGUCGGGCUCUGAGCGUAGUAACUCUUCUCGCUAUAGAGCCCCGGCGGAUGCUAGCCAACAACCCCUAACUUUCUAU
rnacentral:misc_RNA from 1 species